AAAGUUACUUCGGUACAUCGGUGACAGGUGGUGCAUGGUUGUCGUCAGCUCGUGUCGUGAGAUGUUGGUAAGUCCGCAACGAGCGCAACCCCUAUUGUUAGUUGCCAUCAUUCAGUUGGGCACUCUAGCGAGACUGCCGGUAAUAAACCGGAGGAAGGUGGGGAUGACGUCAAAUCAUCAUGCCCCUUAUGACCUGGGCUACACACGUGCUACAAUGGUUGGUACAACGAGUUGCGAGUCGGUGACGGCGAGCUAAUCUCUUAAAGCCAAUCUCAGUUCGGAUUGUAGGCUGCAACUCGCCUACAUGAAGUCGGAAUCGCUAGUAAUCGCGGAUCAGCACGCCGCGGUGAAUACGUUCCCGGGCCUU
rnacentral:rRNA from 1 species